rnacentral:lncRNA from 1 species
AGUUACCUGAAGAGAGAGCUCUCUUUGGAAGCUCUGGGCUGGGGGUGGCCACUAAGGGGAGUGGGUGGAGCAGCAGCAUUGGACUUGCAGGGCUCACAUGCAGGUGGCUCUUAUUGUCGGGAAGUCACCUUGUUCUGAAAUAGAGAGAUGUGAAGGAUAAAAAUCAAGCCUUUGGAGGCAACAUGCCUGGACUCAAAUCCUGGCUCAGUCACUGGCUAGCUGUGAGCCUUGAAUAAGUCAUUUUACCUCCCAGGGACUCAAAUUUUUGCAGGGCUUUGGUUGUGAGGAUUAAAUGGAGUCUUACUCAGAGUUCCCUCGAUGGUUCAAAGGGACCCCCAUCCAUCACUGAACCCCAGAAGCCAGUGGGAAGGAGAACAAGCAACACAGGACACAAGAGUCAGCUCUCAGAGCACAGAACAUGGUGGAAAAGAGCAGAGAACGGAUCUGGGCAGCAGGCUGGCCAAGAAUAGCCUGCAGAAAAACAUCACUCAUCACUCCUAGUAAAGACCAGUUGCCAGCUUCUUCCAUCCAAAUGAAGACAAACACCACUGUUCCCCCUGAUCCUGGGACAGGGAGGUCUGCCACGGGUUAAGGUCAGCCUUGCUUCAUCCCAAGGACAAACUCUGAAGGAAGAGUCUGUGUGUCCUGGAUCUGUUGCCUGCUCUAGACCAAUCAGAGGACUGGAGGUGGGAAGCUCAUCUAUAAGAAUUCAUUUACAAUGGCAACAGAAAAAAAUGCAUGUAUAUACUCUGUUAUAUGGGCUGUUGGUGUAACAGGAAAGGCAAGAACUGUAUGAAAAAAUUUACUUUUAAAAGGCUUAAAUUGGGAAAAAAAAAAAAAUCUUUGGAGUUCCCGUCGUGGCGCAGUGGUUAACGAAUCCGACUAGGAACCAUGAGGUUGCGGGUUCGGUCCCUGCCCUUGCUCAGUGGGUUAACGAUCCGGCGUUGCCGUGAGCUGUGGUGUAGGUUGCAGACGUGGCUCGGAUCCCGCGUUGCUGUGGCUCUGGCGUAGGCUGGUGGCUACAGCUCCGAUUCAACCCCUAGCCUGGGAACCUCCAUAUGCCGCGGGAGCAGCCCAAGAAAUAGCAACAACAACAACAACAACAACAAGACAAAAAAAAAAAAAAAAAAAAAAAAAAAAAAGGCUUAAAUUGGAGCACCUGUCAUGGCUCAGUGGUAACAAACCUGACUAGUAUCCAUGAGGAUGCAGGUUUGAUCCCUGGCCUUACUCAGUGGGUUAAGGAACUGGUGUUGCCAUGAGCUGUGGUGCAGGUUGCAGACGAGGCUCGGAUUUGGCAUUGCUCUAUGCUCUGUGCUGGUGUAGACCAGCCGCUACAGCUCUGAUUCAACCCCUUGCUUGGGAACUUCCAUGUGCCCUGGGUGCAGCCCUACAAAAAUAAAUAAUAAAAUUAAAAUAAAAUGCCUAAACUA